AUGUUCCUGUAUUCUACGCUUGUAAUUCUCUUUGCUAGCCAAGAUAAGCAUUUGUCCCCAGGAAAUGUCCCUGUCCAGGCAUGUCCCUACGUCCCUUUGUUUUCUUCAGCUUUUGUAAUUCCCAGCGCACCUGUGUGCCUGAAGAAGCCAUUCAUCAACACACAGAGGCAGGCAGCUCAUCAGAGUGAGCUCUCUGUGUGCAAAUGUGCCUCCAGUAUCUGUUCUUCCUUCAUCCACAGAAGCUCUUGCUGGCAUAAAGACGGGGCUGCAGGACAUCGACCAGUCCCCUCCUCGCUCCUCACCUUCUGUCAGAGCACACAGACCUCUGUAUCUGAACUAUGUGACUUUCUUCUGCUGGAAAUGUGCUUGGAUUCCAGGAGAGCAUAAUCAAGCAAGCAUUCAUCCGUUG
rnacentral:lncRNA from 1 species